GAUGAACGCUGGCGGCGUGCUUAACACAUGCAAGUCGAACGGAAAGGCCCAAGCUUGCUUGGGUGCUCGAGUGGCGAACGGGUGAGUAACACGUGGGUGAUCUGCCCUGCACUUUGGGAUAAGCCUGGGAAACUGGGUCUAAUACCGGAUAGGACCAUCGUUUAGUGUCGGUGGUGGAAAGUUUUUCGGUGUGGGAUGAGCUCGCGGCCUAUCAGCUUGUUGGUAGGGUAAUGGCCUACCAAGGCGUCGACGGGUAGCCGGCCUGAGAGGGUGUACGGCCACAUUGGGACUGAGAUACGGCCCAGACUCCUACGGGAGGCAGCAGUGGGGAAUAUUGCACAAGGGGCGCAAGCCUGAUGCAGCGACGCCGCGUGGGGGAUGACGGCCUUCGGGUUGUAAACUCCUUUCGCCAAGGACGAAGCGUUUUGUGACGGUACUUGGAGAAGAAGCACCGGCUAACUACGUG
rnacentral:rRNA from 1 species